GACAAUACCGCAUAAGCUCGAGAGAGGAAAGCAGCAAUGCGCUGGAGGAGGAGUCCGCGGUCGAUUAGUUAGUUGGCAGGGUAAAGGCCUACCAAGACUGUGAUCGAUAGCCGGCCUGAGAGGGCACACGGCCACACUGGCACUGAAACACGGGCCAGACUCCUACGGGAGGCAGCAGUGGGGAAUCUUGCACAAUGGGGGAAACCCUGAUGCAGCGACGCCGCGUGAGCGAUGAAGCCCUUCGGGGUGUAAAGCUCUUUCGGCAGGGAAGAUUAUGACGGUACCUGCAGAAGCAGCUGCGGCUAACUACGUGCCAGCAGCCGCGGUAAUACGUAGGCAGCAAGCGUUGUUCGGAGUUACUGGGCGUAAAGGGUGCGUAGGCGGCUUUUUAAGUUUGGUGUGAAAUCUC
rnacentral:rRNA from 1 species